AUUGAACGCUUGCGGCAUGCUUUACACAUGCAAGUCGAACGGUAACAGGCCGCAAGGUGCUGACGAGUGGCGAACGGGUGAGUAAUGCAUCGGAACGUGCCCAGUCGUGGGGGAUAACUGCUCGAAAGAGCAGCUAAUACCGCAUACGAUCUAUGGAUGAAAGCGGGGGACCGUAAGACCUCGCGCGAUUGGAGCCGCCGAUGUCAGAUUAGGGAGUUGGUGGGGUAAAGGCUCACCACGCCAACGAUCUGUCGCUGGUCUGAGAGGACGACCAGCCACACGGGGACGGGGAUGCGGCACAGGCUCCUACGGGAGGGAGAGGUGGGGAAAUGUGGACAAGGGGAGGAACACGGAUCUAGCAAUGCCGCGUGGAGGAAGAAGGGCUUCGGGUUGUGAACUGCUUUUGUACGGAACGAAACGGUAUGGGUUAAUACCCUGGGCUAAUGACGGUACCGUAAGAAUAAGCACCGGCUAACUACGUGCCAGCCGCCGCCGUAAAAC
rnacentral:rRNA from 1 species